rnacentral:piRNA from 1 species
UCAUGUCGUGCCGCCUUUUCAAAAUGGC